rnacentral:rRNA from 1 species
CCUACGGGUGGCAGCAGUGAGGAAUAUUGGUCAAUGGCCGGAAGGCUGAACCAGCCAAGUCGCGUGCGGGACGACUGCCCUAUGGGUUGUAAACCUCUUUUAUAAGGGAAUAAUAAGUGCUACGUGUAGCAUUAUGCCUGUUCCUUAUGAAUAAGCAUCGGCUAAUUCCGUGCCAGCAGCCGCGGUAAUACGGAGGAUGCGAGCGUUAUCCGGAUUUAUUGGGUUUAAAGGGUGCUUAGGCGGAUGUUUAAGUUAGUGGUAAAAGGUCGGGGCUUCACCGGGGUUUGCAAUUACUACUGUUAGACUUGAGUCCAGACGAGGCAGGCGGAAUAAGUCAAGUAGCGGUGAAAUGCUUAGAUAUAACUUAGAACUCCGAUAGCGAAGGCAGCUUACCAGACUGCGACUGACGCUGAAGCACGAGAGCGUGGGUAGCGAACAGGAUUAGAUACCCGGGUAGUC